AUUGAACGCUGGCGGCAGGCCUAACACAUGCAAGUCGAACGAGUGGCGGACGGGUGAGUAAUGUCUGGGAAACUGCCUGCUGGAGGGGGAUAACUACUGGAAACGGUAGCUAAUACCGCAUACCAUCGGAUGUGCCCAGAUGGGAUUAGCUAGUAGGUGGGGUAAAGGCUCACCUAGGCGACGAUCCCUAGCUGGUCUGGGAGGAUGACAAGCCACACUGGAACUGAGACACGGUCCAGACUCCUACGGGAGGCAGCAGUGGGGAAUAUUGCACAAUGGGCGCAAGCCUGAUGCAGACAGGCCGCGUGUAUGAAGAAGGCCUUAGGGUUGUAAAGUACUUUCAGCGGGGAGGCGUUAACCGCAGAAGAAGCACCGGCUAACUCCGUGCCAGCCGCCGCGGUAAUAC
rnacentral:rRNA from 1 species